UCAGGAUGAACGCUGGCGGCGCGCCUAACACAUGCAAGUCGAACGGUUAAAGCACCUCCGGGUGUGUAUAAAGUGGCGAACGGCUGAGUAACACGUGGGCAACCUGCCCCUCGCACCGGGACAGCCUCGGGAAACCGUGGUUAAUACCGGAUACGCCCCCUCUCCCGCAUGGAAGAGGGGGGAAAGCCCCGACGGCGAGGGAUGGGCCCGCGGCCUGUUAGCUUGUUGGCGGGGUAACGGCCCACCAAGGCGAUUAUGGGUAGCUGGGUUGAGAGACCGACCAGCCAGAUUGGGACUGAGACACGGCCCAGACUCCUACGGGAGGCAGCAGUGGGGAAUCUUGCACAAUGGGCGAAAGCCUGAUGCAAGCGACGCCGCGUGCGGGACGAAGGCCUUCGGGUUGUAAACCGCUUUCAGCAGGGACGAGGCCGCAAGGUGACGGUACCUGCAGAAGAAGCCCCGGCUAACUACGUGCCAGCCGCAGC
rnacentral:rRNA from 1 species